rnacentral:rRNA from 1 species
GACGAACGCUGGCGGCGUGCUUAUCACAUGCAAGUCGAACGGAAAGGCCCUGCUUUUGUGGGGUGCUCGAGUGGCGAACGGGUGAGUAACACGUGAGUAACCUGCCCUUGACUUUGGGAUAACUUCAGGAAACUGGGGCUAAUACCGGAUAGGAGCUCCUGCUGCAUGGUGGGGGUUGGAAAGUUUCGGCGGUUGGGGAUGGACUCGCGGCUUAUCAGCUUGUUGGUGGGGUAGUGGCUUACCAAGGCUUUGACGGGUAGCCGGCCUGAGAGGGUGACCGGCACAAUGGGGAUGGGAAACCGGCCCAAACCCCUAGGGGGGGCAGAGGGGGGGAAUUUGGCAAAAGGGGGGGAGGCCUGAGGCAGAAACGCCGGGGGGGGGAGGAGGGCCUUGGGGUUGAAAACCCCUUUCCCCUGGGACGAAGGGUGGGUGACGGUAAGGGUAAAAGAAGCACCGGCAAACUACGU